rnacentral:lncRNA from 1 species
AAGCAGAAACUACCAAAGAAAAAAAAGAAGCAUAUUCCGCGGCCACCGCAGCUGGGAUCUCCCAAUUAUUGUAAAUCUGUCGUAAACUCUCCACACCACAGUACUCAGAGUGACACAUGUCCGCUGGCCCAGGAAGAAAUUUUAGAAAUUAACAGAGCAGGGAUUUCAAAGGAACAGAUGACCCAGAGAAGAAUGACAGCACUGAGUAAGAAGGAGUGCCAGAUUCCAAACUGAAUGGGGAGGUGGCGAAGGCCGCGCUGGCGAACGAAGACUGCCCCCACAUAGACCAGGCCCUCACUCCCGAUGAGGGCCUGCCCUUUACGCGCUCGGGCACCCGCGAGAGAUACGGACCCUGCUUCCUCUUAUCAACCGGGGAGUACGCGUGCCCACCUGGUGGAGGAAUGAGAAAGGAUCUUUGCAAAGAAAGCCCUGUCAUUGCUAAGUAUAUGCCGACAGAGGCUGUGAGAGUGACUUGACCAGGCGGCUUGGCCGAGGACACUGGUGGCUAUUAAGCAUCUGGGUGGACCUGCAGCCCCUCCUCACCCUCGGACAGAGUAAAUUCACGCCAUGCAGGUUUGCCGGACGAGUCCGAGUGGCCCAGGCAUUGUACUAGGACGGACGUAGCUUUUUCUACGGCCAAAUGGUAACUGACCGUAGAGG